CCACUGGCGCCACACACAAACCACAAGCGACGCCCAGGCAUCGGACGGGAAGAGGAGUUAGCACCACAAAAAUACCAAGAACCAGGAGGAGGACAUACACAUCCAUCAAGAUGGGAGCACGUUCCCUGUGGCAGCUUUGCCGACGGAGCUGGCGGAGGUGUGGCACCAGUCAGCGGCUCCAGAUACCCGUGGCCUGGAGCGUGGAGUUGGCCUGCUAUCGCCGAUAUCAGCGUAUUCUUUAGACAAAUUCGGACUAUAUCUAUAUCUCCAACAAUGAACCUAAAGAAUAUCAUAGCAACAUCAUAUCAAUCCAUAUCGAUUUACGAGUACACACUAUGAAUAUCAAAUUGUUUUUAUAACUACGACGGCAUUGUUUUGAAUCUUAGUUGGAAAAUAAUGUGAUUAUUUUGUUAUCAAUAAAAGAAAUUAGUUGUAAAUGAAA
rnacentral:lncRNA from 1 species